GAUGAACGCUGGCGGCGUGCCUAAUACAUGCAAGUCGAGCGAACGGACGAGAAGCUUGCUUUUCUGAUGUUAGCGGCGGACGGGUGAGUAACACGUGGAUAACCUACCUAUAAGACUGGGAUAACUUCGGGAAACCGGAGCUAAUACCGGAUAAUAUUUUGAACCGCAUGGUUCAAAAGUGAAAGACGGUCUUGCUGUCACUUAUAGAUGGAUCCGCGCUGCAUUAGCUAGUUGGUAAGGUAACGGCUUACCAAGGCAACGAUGCAUAUCCGACCUGAGAGGGUGAUCGGCCACACUGGAACUGAGACACGGUCCAGACUCCUACGGGAGGCAGCAGUAGGGAAUCUUCCGCAAUGGGCGAAAGCCUGACGGAGCAACGCCGCGUGAGUGAUGAAGGUCUUCGGAUCGUAAAACUCUGUUAUUAGGGAAGAACAUAUGUGUAAGUAACUGUGCACAUCUUGACGGUACCUAAUCAGAAAGCCACGGCUAACUACGUG
rnacentral:rRNA from 1 species